AAGCCCAUGAAAAAGGCAUAGUCUCAAUAAAUCUUUAUAAUUCUCCCAUGCAUCAAACAAUGAUUCCCUAUCUUCUUGUCUAAAGUUGUUAAUCUCAUUCCUAACUU